GACAAGUCCUAAAUAGCCAGAUAAGAAAGAUGAUGCUGGGUUUUUCAGGAAUUGGGCAGUAGGGGAUGAUACUCACAAAGGCUGGCUUGCUACCUGAACCAAAUUAUUUCUGUGUAGAGGAAAAUGGUUAACAUUUCAUUAACAGUAUUGGAAAGAUUUUCAUCCCAGUAGUAUUCCAUCCCGGUCCCUCAAAUUUACAGUGUUCUGCCAGUGAUGUUGUUUAGUUUAGAUUUAAGUUGAUUAUAAACAGAAGGACACAUAAUUAAAACAUGUUAAAGUUCAGUUUAUUUCUGAAUACAAAUGCUAAGUUUGUGAAAAAAAGCUGCAGUUUAAUUCUUCCAAUUGUGAAAUACUUAACAGUUUCUGCUUUACACCUAUGUUAUUUUUCAGGAAAUGUUGCUUGCUACAAGGAAAAUACAUAGAGAGAAAAUAUCAUUUUGAGGCACUGCAGGGGCUGCUCCUGGUGGGCAUAGUGCUGAGCAUGCAGACAGAAGGGUCAUUCCCAUGUUCUCAGCAGGAAGUGGUCCCACAGCUAAGAACAACACCCAGUAGCUGUGCCUGGGCACCAAGAGCCUGGGUGUGUUCUGAAGAGUGCAUGUGCAGUGUGGGCAUGGAGCUCCUGCAAACCAAUGGUUCACUGAAGGGUUCACUGUUUGAAGGGGACAGAGCAUUUUCUCAUGAACUGAAAAAAAUUCUUCCCCUGGUGCAUGAUAAGGAGAAGUAAGAGAAGUGGUGGGGUUCCAGGAGCAGAGGACAGAUGAAACAGUAUAGUUUCUCCUGUAUAAGGUAUAAUAGUGAUGCUUUUUAUCAUCUUCAUGGCAAAAUCCUUGUCUUUACUAGAAUUUUAUAAUGAGACAGUGAAAAACUAGUAAUUAUCCUUUGGUAAAAGAAAAGCUCUAUUUUCAGACAGUGCUUUUUUGCAUUACACUGACAGUGUGAUGGAAGUUUAGAUGGAAAGCAGCUUUUCUAGUAAGGAGCUGGCUUGAAAAUUAUGGGAAAGGAGACAAAAAAAGAAGACAGUUUUUUACCUGUUUUACAGUAUUUUGUCAUGAUCUUUUCUUCUCAAGCCUUUCUUCUCUUCUUUUGCACCAAAUUUUGAUUUGAAUUUGAAAAUAUCCACACUGCUUCUUUCCUAAAAUUGUAACUGCCAUUCGUAGAAAAAUCGUUUUCCCAGAAAAGCCACUGUGAGUAGGCUUCAAAUAUAGCUUUUCACAAGUGUGAAUAAGACAUUUUCUUUAAUAACCUACACUGUCAAUCUGACCACAAAACAUGGAGAAAGUUGGCUCUGGCCUGUUUCAAUCAGGCUCUUCGGCACAUGAUCCAGCUGACCACUCAAACAUAUUCAUCCAGAUGGGUGUGUUGUACUUACCUGAAAAGCCUCUGGAGCACAGGUUUGGCCUUGGGUUGACCCAGAAGGAUGUCAAAGAGAACCACAAAAUUCUGUCAGCUGGCACUCUAGGGAUGGCUGUGUGUUCAAGAUGAAAUCCCCUCUGCUUCUCCACUACAAUUCACAAGGAAGAGACAGCAGUGAAAAAACACUGUGCUGCUUGCCACAAGCAGCUCCAAACUUAAUGUUUGGAAUGAGCAUUUCAGCCCAUUUUGUUGUGGCAUUUUGAGUGUGCAGAGCAAGCUUCAGGCUCUAGCAGUUCUGGAUUCAGAUCACAUGUACCAAAUGGAAAAAAAAAUAAAAAUAAUCAAAGGAUAGUUGCA
rnacentral:lncRNA from 1 species